AGAGUUUGAUCCUGGCUCAGGACGAACGCUGGCGGCAUGCCUAACACAUGCAAGUCGAGCGGAGGUAUUUAAGUAGCUUGCUACGAGAAUACCUUAGCGGCGGACGGGUGAGUAACGCGUGAGCAAUCUGCCUUGUACAGGGGGAUAACAGAUGGAAACAUCUGCUAAUACCGCAUAAGACCACACUGGCGAAUGCCAGAGAGGUCAAAGGAGUUAAAUCCGGUACAAGAUGAGCUCGCGUCCCAUUAGCUAGUUGGUAGAGUAACAGCCUACCAAGGCGACGAUGGGUAGCCGACCUGAGAGGGUGAUCGGCCACACUGGGACUGAGACACGGCCCAGACUCCUACGGGAGGCAGCAGUGGGGAAUAUUGCGCAAUGGGGGAAACCCUGACGCAGCAAUGCCGCGUGAGUGAAGAAGGCCUUCGGGUCGUAAAACUCUGUCUUUGGGGAAGAAAAAAAUGACGGUACCCAAGGAGGAAGCCCCGGCUAACUACGUGCCAGCCGCCGCGGUAAUUC
rnacentral:rRNA from 1 species